rnacentral:lncRNA from 1 species
AUUUCAUACCUGUUCUUAUAAAUAUAUUUGGGUUAAUUUCUUCUACGUUUCUAUAAACAUAAUGAAUUAUAAAUAUAUUCCUGCAAAGCUCAAUUUUUAUAAGUUAUUUCUGUAAAAAUCAUAAUGUAUUCAGAUAUGUCCUUGUCUUUAGGAUCCAUUAGAGAUAUUUAGUUAACCACGGUUAAAAUAUUUAAUCAUAAUUAAUUAAUA